CCUACGGGGGGCAGCAGUGAGGAAUAUUGGUCAAUGGACGAGAGUCUGAACUAGCCAAGUAGCGUGAAGGAUGACUGCCCUAUGGGUUGUAAACUUCUUUUAUAUGGGAAUAAAAUGUUCCACGUGUGGGAUUUUGUAUGUACCAUAUGAAUAAGGAUCGGCUAACUCCGUGCCAGCAGCCGCGGUAAUACGGAGGAUCCGAGCGUUAUCCGGAUUUAUUGGGUUUAAAGGGCGCGUAGGUGGAUUGUUAAGUCAGUUGUGAAAGUUUGCGGCUCAACCGUAAAAUUGCAGUUGAAACUGGCAGUCUUGAGUACAGUAGAGGUGGGCGGAAUUCGUGGUGUAGCGGUGAAAUGCUUAGAUAUCACGAAGAACUCCGAUUGCGAAGGCAGUUCACUGGACUGCAACUGACACUGAGGCUCGAAAGUGUGGGUAUCAAACAGGAUUAGAUACCCGUGUAGUC
rnacentral:rRNA from 1 species